rnacentral:tRNA from 2 species
GCUUCAGUGGCCUAAUGGACCAAGGCACCGGUCUGAUUAACCGGAGAUAUGGGUUCAAUUCCCAUCUGGAGAC